AGAGUUUGAUCCUGGCUCAGAUUGAACGCUGGCGGCAGGCCUAACACAUGCAAGUCGAGCGGAUGAGUAGAGCUUGCUCCAUGAUUCAGCGGCGGACGGGUGAGUAAUGCCUAGGAAUCUGCCUGGCAGUGGGGGACAACGUUUCGAAAGGAACGCUAAUACCGCAUACGUCCUACGGGAGAAAGCAGGGGACCUUCGGGCCUUGCGCUAUCAGAUGAGCCUAGGUCGGAUUAGCUAGUUGGUGAGGUAAAGGCUCACCAAGGCGACGAUCCGUAACUGGUCUGAGAGGAUGAUCAGUCACACUGGAACUGAGACACGGUCCAGACUCCUACGGGAGGCAGCAGUGGGGAAUAUUGGACAAUGGGCGAAAGCCUGAUCCAGCCAUGCCGCGUGUGUGAAGAAGGUCUUCGGAUUGUAAAGCACUUUAAGUUGGGAGGAAGGGCAGUAAGCUAAUACCUUGCUGUUUUGACGUUACCGACAGAAUAAGCACCGGCUAACUUCGUGCCAGCAGCCGCGGUAAUACGAAGGGUGCAAGCGUUAAUCGGAAUUACUGGGCGUAAAGCGCGCGUAGGUGGUUCAGCAAGUUGGAUGUGAAAGCCCCGGGCUCAACCUGGGAACUGCAUCCAAAACUACUGAGCUAGAGUACGGUAGAGGGUGGUGGAAUUUCCUGUGUAGCGGUGAAAUGCGUAGAUAUAGGAAGGAACACCAGUGGCGAAGGCGGCCACCUGGACUGAUACUGACACUGAGGUGCGAAAGCGUGGGGAGCAAACAGGAUUAGAUACCCCGGUAGUCC
rnacentral:rRNA from 1 species